GAUCAUGGCUCAGGAUGAACGCUAGCUACAGGCUUAACACAUGCAAGUCGAGGGGCAGCAUUGGAGUAGCAAUACUUCAGAUGGCGACCGGCGCACGGGUGAGUAACACGUAUCCAACCUGCCGCUUACUCGGGGAUAGCCUUUCGAAAGAAAGAUUAAUACCCGAUGGUAUAAAGAGUUCGCAUGUUCUCUUUAUUAAAGAAUUUCGGUAAGCGAUGGGGAUGCGUUCCAUUAGAUAGUUGGCGGGGUAACGGCCCACCAAGUCUACGAUGGAUAGGGGUUCUGAGAGGAAGGUCCCCCACAUUGGAACUGAGACACGGUCCAAACUCCUACGGGAGGCAGCAGUGAGGAAUAUUGGUCAAUGGACGAGAGUCUGAACCAGCCAAGUAGCGUGAAGGAUGACUGCCCUAUGGGUUGUAAACUUCUUUUAUAAGGGAAUAAAGUGAGGGACGUGUCCCUUUUUGUAUGUACCUUAUGAAUAAGGAUCGGCUAACUCCGUGCCAGCAGCAGC
rnacentral:rRNA from 1 species